rnacentral:rRNA from 1 species
GACGAACGCUGGCGGCAUGCUUAACACAUGCAAGUCGAACGGAAAGGCCCUGCUUUUGUGGGGUGCUCGAGUGGCGAACGGGUGAGUAACACGUGAGUAACCUGCCCUUGACUUUGGGAUAACUUCAGGAAACUGGGGCUAAUACCGGAUAGGAGCUCCUGCUGCAUGGUGGGGGUUGGAAAGUUUCGGCGGUUGGGGAUUGACUCGCGGCUUAUCAGCUUGUUGGUGGGGUAGUGGCUUACCAAGGCUUUGACGGGUAGCCGGCCUGAGAGGGUGACCGGCCACAUUGGGACUGAGAUACGGCCCAGACUCCUACGGGAGGCAGCAGUGGGGAAUAUUGCACAAUGGGCGGAAGCCUGAUGCAGCAACGCCGCGUGCGGGAUGACGGCCUUCGGGUUGUAAACCGCUUUCGCCUGUGACGAAGCGUGAGUGACGGUAAUGGGUAAAGAAGCACCGGCUAACUACGUG